rnacentral:lncRNA from 1 species
UAAAGAAAAAGUACUGCAAGUGUCUUCUGCAAUGAAAGAGAAAGAAAAUACCCCCAAAAGACAGGCCGUCUGCUGGAAAUAUCAUCUAAAUGGAAAACUUGUCCUGAAAAUUGUGGCUGUGUUUUGAAGGAAGACCCUGAAGUCAGGAGAAGGAAAUAAGGAGGGAGAGAAUCCCAGGCGUGGGAGAAGAGCCAGUGACAAUGAACAUUUGGGAGAUUGUUAUCAUGUUUGAGGAUCAGUAAGGAGGCCAGAGUAACUGACUGUAAGUAUCUGGAGCAUAGUUAGGUGUAAGAAGACUGGGAGAGUGGGAAGGGACCAAGUCAUAAAGGGCAUUAAAAACCAAAGACAUUAUAUGAAAUCAUAGAAGUAACAGGGAGCCUCUGGAGUGGCUGAUGGAUUGGCAUGGAGGAUUGAGAGGGUCAGGCUUGUGCUUAAGAAAGAGAUUUUUCAUCUGAAUGGAGGAUGGACUAGAGAGGAGAGACAUGAAACAGAAAGAUCUGAAAGGCUAUUGAAAUAGUCCAAAAUGAGGUAGUGAAGGCCUGAGCCAUAGUGGUGGCAGUCAGAGGAGGAAAGAGGGGUGUUACAAAGGUAG